rnacentral:misc_RNA from 1 species
GAUGAAGAACGUAGCGAAAUGCGAUAAGUAAUGUGAAUUGCAGAAUUCAGUGAAUCAUCGAAUCUUUGAACGCACCUUGCACCCUUUGGUAUUCCGAAGGGUAUGCUCGUUUGAGUGUCAUUGUACUCUCACACUUCCGAUCGUUUGGAUCGGGAGCGGUGGACUUGGGUGUUGCUGCUUUACUGUGGCUCACCUUAAAUGCAUUAGUGCACCUUUCGGUUGGACAUAGUACGGCGUGAUAAGUGUCUUCGCCGGCACCUCACAGAGGGUGGCUGAUCGGGAGCUCUGUGCUUCAAACCGUCCUCGGACAACAGCUGACACCUUGACCUCAAAUCGAGUAGGACUACCCGCUGAACUUAAGCAUAUCAAUAAGCGGAGGA